GAUGAACGCUGGCGGCGUGCCUAAUACAUGCAAGUCGAGCGAACAGACGAGGAGCUUGCUCCUCUGACGUUAGCGGCGGACGGGUGAGUAACACGUGGAUAACCUACUUAUAAGACUGGGAUAACUUCGGGAAACCGGAGCUAAUACCGGAUAAUAUAUUGAACCGCAUGGUUCAAUAGUGAAAGACGGCUUUGCUGUCACUUAUAGAUGGAUCCGCGCCGCAUUAGCAAGUGGUAAGGUAACGGCUUACCAAGGCAACGAUGCGUAGCCGACCUGAGAGGAUGAUCGGCCACACUGGAACUGAGACACGGUCCAGACUCCUACGGGAGGCAGCAGUAGGGAACCUUCCGCAAUGGGCGAAAGCCUGACGGAGCAACGCCGCGUGAGUGAUGAAGGUCUUCGGAUCGUAAAACUCUGUUAUUGGGGAAGAACAGAUGUGUAAGUAACUAUGCACGUCUUGACGGUACCUAAUCAGAAAGCCACGGCUAACUACGUG
rnacentral:rRNA from 1 species